GACGAACGCUGGCGGCGUGCUUAACACAUGCAAGUCGAACGGAAAGGCCCUUCGGGGUACUCGAGUGGCGAACGGGUGAGUAACACGUGGGUGAUCUGCCCUGCACUUUGGGAUAAGCCUGGGAAACUGGGUCUAAUACCGAAUAGGACCACGCGCUUCAUGGUGUGUGGUGGAAAGCUUUUGCGGUGUGGGAUGGGCCCGCGGCCUAUCAGCUUGUUGGUGGGGUAAUGGCCUACCAAGGCGACGACGGGUAGCCGGCCUGAGAGGGUGACCGGCCACACUGGGACUGAGAUACGGCCCAGACUCCUACGGGAGGCAGCGGUGGGGAAUAUUGCACAAUGGGCGCAAGCCUGAUGCAGCGACGCCGCGUGAGGGAUGACGGCCUUCGGGUUGUAAACCUCUUUCAAUAGGGACGAAGCGCAAGUGGCGGUACCUAUAGAAGAAGCACCGGCCAACUACGUG
rnacentral:rRNA from 1 species